rnacentral:misc_RNA from 1 species
GAUGAAGAAUGCAGCGAAAUGCGAUAAGUGAUGUGAAUUGCAGAAUUCAGUGAAUCAUCGAAUCUUUGAACGCACAUUGCGCCCGCCAGUAUUCUGGCGGGCAUGCCUGUCUGAGCGUCAUUUCAACCCUCAAGCAACUUCUGCUUGGUGUUGGGGAUCGGCCGUCAAACGCCGCCCCCGAAAUCUAUUGGCGAUCUCGCUGUAGCUUCCUAUGCGUAGUAGUAACAUCUCGCAUCUGGAGAGCGGCGCGGUCAUGCCGUAAAACACCCAACUUCUCAGGUUGACCUCAGAUCAGGUAGGAAUACCCGCUGAACUUAAGCAUAUCAAUAAGCGGAGGA